rnacentral:misc_RNA from 1 species
GAUGAAGAACGUAGCGAAAUGCGAUAAGUAGUGUGAAUUGCAGAAUUCAGUGAAUCAUCGAAUCUUUGAACGCACAUUGCGCCCCUUGGUAUUCCAUGGGGCAUGCCUGUUCGAGCGUCAUUUGUACCUUCAAGCUCUGCUUGGUGUUGGGUGUUUGUCUCGCCUCUGCGUGUAGACUCGCCUCAAAACAAUUGGCAGCCGGCGUAUUGAUUUCGGAGCGCAGUACAUCUCGCGCUUUGCACUCAUAACGACGACGUCCAAAAAUACAUUUUUACACUCUUGACCUCGGAUCAGGUAGGGAUACCCGCUGAACUUAAGCAUAUCAAUAAGCGGAGGA